UACGUAGGGGGCAAGCGUUGUCCGGAUUUAUUGGGCGUAAAGAGCUCGUAGGCGGUUUGUCGCGUCUGCUGUGAAAACCUCAGGCUCAACCUGGGGCUUGCAGUGGGUACGGGCAGACUAGAGUGCGGUAGGGGUGACUGGAAUUCCUGGUGUAGCGGUGAAAUGCGCAGAUAGUCAGGGAGGAACACCGGUGGCGAAGGCGGGUCUCUGGGCCGUAACUGACGCGUGGAGGAGCGAAAGCGUGGGAGCGAACAGGAUUAG
rnacentral:rRNA from 1 species